GGCUCUUCCGGGCGCCGCAGCUUCCUGCCAAGCACCGCGCAGCCGCCUGCGCCGCAGGAACCCCCCGUGCAGGCCUCGGCGCUGGUACGGAUCCCGGCAUUCAGCCGCGCGCGCCCUGCCCGGCCCCGCGCCGUCCCCACCGCACGAUGCGCGCGCUGCCGCCGCCCGCGCCGCUCCUGCCGCUGCUGCUGCUCGCGCUCCUGGUCGCUCCCGCGGCCCGCGCCAGCAGAGCCGAGUCCUUGUCCGCGCCGCAGCCCGAACCCGAGCGCGAGUCGCGGCCGCCGCCCGGCCCGGGCCCCGGGAACGCCACCCGGACCGGGUCUGGGGCGGCGGGCGGCGGCGGCAGCUCCAACAGCAGCGGCAACGCCUUGGUGACCCGCAUUUCCACCCUCCUCCGCGACCUACCCACCCUCAAGGCAGCCGUGAUCGUGGCGUUCGCCUUCACCACCCUCCUCAUCGCUUGCCUGCUGCUGCGCGUCUUCAGAAACUGGCUGGCAACCAAAAGAACUUACAGGGGUGCCUCUGGGUCCUAAGAAUUGUCUGUUGAGUGCUGAGCCCUAGGGUUGGGGCACAUUCAGAGAUCUGAGGUCGGGAAAGAGGUUAAAGAAGACCCGCAAGUAUGAUAUCAUCACCACUCCAGCCGAGCGAGUGGAAAUGGCGCCGCUGAACGAAGAGGAUGAUGAGGAUGAGGACUCCACAGUAUUCGACAUCAAAUACAGGUAAAACCUGUUUCCCAGCCUGUUGGCAUCCUGUGGAAAGUUGGUCAGCGGCAGCCUGGGGUGUGAAGGACCUGGAAGCCCUCUGGCACAUCAGAGGCGUUGAAACCAAAACAAACCUUAUGUAUAAAACCCCGGCUCCAUCGGCUCCGUCAUGGGUGUUGGUCGUCUGCCCAGAGUGUCACCAGCAAGCUCGCUUCCAUGUUACCACAGCAGAGUUGCUUCUGCCACCCUUUGGGCGCCCCUUUAAAGUGUCCCCUACUUCUACUCCCCGCUAGAGAGGCUUUGUGCCUUGCUAAGGAGCAAAGGGUAGAAACAUGUUGAUUUUGAAAAAGUUUUUUUUUUUUUUUUUUUUAAAAACAAUUGUUGACAAUAGUAAAAGAGAUCAAGAGGAUGAAGAAUCUAAACAAACAAAAAGGAUGCCCACUGUGUAUUUAGAAUUUCUGACAUUCUUCUCUGCAGUGUCUGCACAUUGGACCCCAUCUGACUCUUCGCUGUCUUUUUGGCUGGGUCAGGUCCUCAUUUUGGCAUUAUUUUGGCCUCAUUUUGGCAUUACCUGUGUCAGAGUUUAAGGUGGACGUGCUUAGAGCUGGUCAGCCCCUUCCAGUCCUGGACAUCUGUGGCUCCUUUUCUUUCUUUUUCCUUUCUUUCUUUUUUUUUUAAAGGGUUCAGCAGAAAUCAGUAUGGCUAGCUCACAAAGAAUUUCCAGUAUCAGGGAAAACUGUGUGUGUACGUGUGCACGUGCACGUGAUGCCUAUAAAAGCUUAUCCUCUGAAGAGAAAGUGCUAGGCAGCUUCUGGUUAGUAACAUUCUUUGUGCUUUUUUGUUGUUUCUCUGCUCUGUCACUGUUCCGUGUUGUUUGCCUUAGAAACGUAAUUUUAAAAAACCACGGUGGUAAUUUAAAUGAAUGGUGGUUCAGCUGGCUGGAAAAAAACAUAUGUUAGGGAACUAUAUUUGAAGUCAGUCUAGACCGGGCUGGACUAGAAACCCACCCGGACUCAGGAGGCCCCACAGGACCCAGGAGGCACCGCAGGAACCCGGGAAGGCAGAGGUUCAGGCGAAAUGGCUCCCUCCGAGCUGGUGAAGUGAGGACUCGCCUGUGACAUUACCCGGAGAUCUGUGCUGGCUUCUGCAGAAAGGGCCUUGGGCUGAUGUCUCAGGUUGAUGGAGCCUCGGGCUAGCGGUGUUCCCAGGCUAGCGGUGACUGGCUGUAACAAAGAUGCUUCUUUUCAAGUCUAUUAGCUGUGCCUUCUGGACCCUGGGAUCUUGCUCUCUCUAGAAAGGUGUUUUUUAUUUUUAAAUGUUUUAUCUCCCGCACCUUUUUUCCUGGCAUUGCUCCAGGGUUUAUGGUGUUUGCCUGUUGAUGGUCCUGCUCUCUUUUUUUUGGAUGAGAAGUCCAGCCUUUCCCGACGCACCUCCGUCUUCAGGUUUCUCAGUUUUCCGAGACGGGUGGGGAUCUGUGGGAAGGGGCAUGGGAGCUCCGCGGCCCCCACCUGCUGGGAAGGGAGACUGGCCUCCGCAGGAAAGCGCAGAGCCCAUGGGAAGCCCCAGGUGAGGAUGGCGCUGCCGGCUCACCGCACACAGCACUGCCAGCUGCGGGGGCCUGCGUGUAGCCUCUGCUCCCUUCAUUUCACCUUCUUUGUAGACUUUUCUUCCCCGUUUUUGCCCGUCUGUUUGCCAGAGGGGUGCGACUGGCAGCAGAAGAGCCGUGCCUGCUUUAUCUCUCCUCUCCGCGGUGUACUCAGGCCCGGGUGGUGACUCACUCAAGGCACCUCGCAGCUGUUCACCCCUCACCCUUUGAACUGGAACUGCUGGCUCACUCGGGGUUUUCCACAACUGCAGCCGAAUCCCACGGACAAGCUGGACUCCUCGGCCUGAUGCGGAACGCUGGGCUGCGGCUGCCAGGUGCUCGCUGCUGGUCCUGGCAGAAGUGGUGGCUGCUGAGAGUGACCUUGCAAAUCCUUGCUGGAGCCUCCGUGCUCCAGGCUCUCCAAUAAAAACCCUUUAGACACCAA